UGGGGAAUAUUGCACAAUGGAGGGAACUCUGAUGCAGCGACGCCGCGUGAACGAAGAAGGCUUUCGAGUCGUAAAGUUCUUUUAUAUGGGAAGAUAAUGACGGUACCAUAAGAAAAAGCCCCGGCUAACUACGUGCCAGCAGCCGCGGUAAUACGUAGGGGGCUAGCGUUGUCCGGAAUCACUGGGCGUAAAGGGUUCGCAGGCGGAAAUGCAAGUCAGGUGUAAAAGGCAGUAGCUUAACUACUGUAAGCAUUUGAAACUGCAUAUCUUGAGAAGAGUAGAGGUAAGUGGAAUUUUUGGUGUGGCGGUGAAAUGCGUAGAUAUUAAAAAGAAUACCGGUGGCGAAGGCGACUUACUGGGCUCAUUCUGACGCUGAGGAACGAAAGCGUGGGUAGCAAACAGG
rnacentral:rRNA from 1 species